rfam:Bacillus sp. MRMR6 scaffold_88, whole genome shotgun sequence.
GGCUGCAACUCGCCUACAUGAAGCCGGAAUCGCUAGUAAUCGCGGAUCAGCAUGCCGCGGUGAAUACGUUCCCGGGCCUUGUACACACCGCCCGUCACACCACGAGAGUUUGUAACACCCGAAGUCGGUGGGGUAACCGUAAGGAGCCAGCCGCCUAAGGUGGGACAGAUGAUUGGGGUGAAGUCGUAACAAGGUAGCCGUAUCGGAAGGUGCGGCUGGAUCACCUCCUUU